rnacentral:rRNA from 1 species
GAUGAACGCUGGCGGCGUGCCUAAUACAUGCAAGUCGAGCGAACAGACGAGGAGCUUGCUCCUCUGACGUUAGCGGCGGACGGGUGAGUAACACGUGGAUAACCUACCUAUAAGACUGGGAUAACUUCGGGAAACCGGAGCUAAUACCGGAUAAUAUAUUGAACCGCAUGGUUCAAUAGUGAAAGACGGUUUUGCUGUCACUUAUAGAUGGAUCCGCGCCGCAUUAGCUAGUUGGUAAGGUAACGGCUUACCAAGGCAACGAUGCGUAGCCGACCUGAGAGGGUGAUCGGCCACACUGGAACUGAGACACGGUCCAGACUCCUACGGGAGGCAGCAGUAGGGAAUCUUCCGCAAUGGGCGAAAGCCUGACGGAGCAACGCCGCGUGAGUGAUGAAGGUCUUCGGAUCGUAAAACUCUGUUAUUAGGGAAGAACAAAUGUGUAAGUAACUAUGCACGUCUUGACGGUACCGAAUCAGAAAGCCACGGCUAACUACGU